UUGGAGGGCAAGUCUGGUGCCAGCAGCCGCGGUAAUUCCAGCUCCAAUAGCGUAUAUUAAAGUUGUUGCAGUUAAAAAGCUCGUAGUUGAAUUUCGGGGUCAGCAGGUUGGUCGUGCCAAUGGUAUGAACUGGCCUUGCUGAUUCCUCCCUCUUGAUGAGCCGUAAUGCCAUUAAUUUGGUGUUGCGGGGAAUCAGGACUGUUACUUUGAAAAAAUUAGAGUGUUUAAAGCAGGCAAGCGCUUGAAUACAUUAGCAUGGAAUAAUGAAAUAGGACGUUUGAUCCUAUUUUGUUGGUUUCUAGGAUUGACGUAAUGAUUAAUAGGGAUAGUUGGGGGCAUUAGUAUUCAAUUGUCAGAGGUGAAAUUCUUGGAUUUAUUGAAGGCUAACUACUGCGAAAGCAUUUGCCAAGGAUGUUUUCAUUAAUCAAGAACGGAAGUUAGGGGAUCGAAGACGAUCAGAUACCGUCGUAGUCUUAACCAUAAACUAUGCCGACUAGGGAUCGGAUGAUGUUAAUUUUUUAAUGACUCAUUCGGCGCCUUACGGGAAAC
rnacentral:rRNA from 1 species